rnacentral:lncRNA from 1 species
UCUCUUCCGUGACUUAGGAUGGGAUUUAAGAGCGAAGAUUAACGGUAGAACAUCCAUUCCCCCUGGAAACCUGGAAGCGUAGAGUUUACAGAGGUUACAGCUGGUUACAACAUCGACUCAAAAUGGAUACCCGAGUGUUGAUCUGUUUCCUUGUCGUGCUUUACCUGGCGACUGUCUCGGUCGCGGCUCCUGUGGACGAAUCUCGAAGUGUAGAGGGCAGAAAUAACGAGGUCAUGGUAAGAGCCAAACGUGGAUCCUGCAUUUGGAGAUGUGGCUACUGGGGUCACUUCUUGACCUGUCCAAGUGGGUUCUUCGUCCAGGGAGCGUGUGGCUCUGGGAAAAAUGCGGAUUGUUCUCAUACCCACUGCGGCAAAAAGACCUGGCACGCUAUCUUGUGUUGCCCGAAAUAAACUUGAAAGCCAGAAACGUGAAAAAAAAUAUCCGCAGUAUUCAGAUAAAUACACAAGAAUACUCUUGUCAACUGUGCAUAAUUUUGAAUUGAUUUGAUGCAUAAGAUUUGAUUUAUUAUCUUUGCUGUUUGGCCUGCUUUCACUUUGCAGUUGGAAAAAUAAAAAAUGACCUUCUAAA